UGAGUUUGAUUCUGGCUCCGAGUGAAUGCUGGUGGUAAGCUUAACACAUGCAAGUUGAACGCUAGAAAUAGAGUAGCAAAAAGGUGAGUAAAACAUAAGAAUUUUAAUAAUAAUCCUGGAAUAAAAUCGAAGGAUAAGAAAUAAAGAGGAACUUGUGAGUAGAAGGAGAUAUGCGUAACAAGUAAGACUCGUUAUUAUAAAAGCUUAUGGCGAAUUAGGUAGUUGGUAAGGUAAAGGCUUACCAAGCCAAGGAUUCGUAGGUGAUUUGGGAGGAUGAUCAUCCACAUUGGCAUUGAAAAAAAGGCCAAACUCGAAAGAGGCUGCAGUGAGGAAUAUUGGACAAUGGGCGCAAGCCUGAUCCAGCGAUACCACGUGAGGGAAGAAGUAAAGCGUAAACCUCUUUUAAUAAGGGAGAAAAAGACAUGAAUUAAAGAAAAAGUCCCGGCUAAUUUCGUGCCAGCAGCCGCGGUAAAACGGAGGGGGCAAGCAUUAUUCGUAAGAAUUGGGCGUAAAGGGUAUGUAGGUUGUUUUUAAAAAGGUCUUAUGUAAAAGGCACUGAAAAGAAGAAGUGAAAGCAUAAAGAACAAGAAAACUAGAGUAAAAUGGAUGUGCAAUAGAAUAACUAAAGGAGAGGUAAAAUUCGCAUGAGAAUAGUUAGACUGACAGUUGGCGUAAGCAAAGCACAACAGAUACUGACACUGAGAUACGAAGGCAUAGGGAGCAAACAGGAUUAGAGACCCUGGUAGUCUAUGCAGUAAACGAUGAGUGUUCAAUAUUAAUAAAAUUAGUAUUUGAGUUAACACGUUAAACACUCCGCCUGAGAAGUACGAUCGCAAGAUUAAAACUCAAGGAAAUUGACGGAGAUUUGCGCAAGCAGUGGAGUAUGAAGUUUAAUUCGAUAUAACACGAAAAAUCUUACCAAUUGUUGAAUGAUACAUAUAAACAUUAAAAAAAAAUGUAAAGAUAAUAUAGAGAGUAAUAUUAUUAAAAUAAGUAUCGAACAGGUGUUGCAUGGCUGUCGUAAGUUCGUGCUGUUAAGGUGUUAGAUUAAUUUCUAAAACGAACGAAAUCCUUAUAUUAACUUACAAAAAGAAAAAUAAAUAAAAGAAUGUGAUUGUAAUCACAUUGGAAGUUGAGGAACAUGUCAAGUCAUUAUGGCCCUUACCGAUUGGGCUACAUUUGUACUACAAUGGUUAAAACAAAAGGAAGCGAAAGUGAGAGCUGGAGCAAAACCUAAAAAGUAAUCAAAGUUUGGAUUUGUCUCUGCAACUCGAGACAAUGAAAGUGGAAUUGCUAGUAAUCGUAUAUCAGAAGGAUUCGGUGAAUGGUUGUCAAAUCUAGUACAUACCGCCUGUCACACCAUGGAAGUUUCACUUUUUUAAAGUAACUAUAUAAAUCUAUAUUAGAAAAUUAAAGGGUAACAAUUAAAGAAGAUUUAAUAAUUUUAUUGGAUAAAUGUAGAAGUAAGUUCUUGAAUAAAUGGGAGGUAACUAGGGUAAAGUCAUAACACGGUAGCUGUAGAGGAAUCUGCAGCUG
rnacentral:rRNA from 1 species